rnacentral:rRNA from 1 species
CGCCUGGGGAGUACGGCCGCAAGGUUGAACUCAAAGGAAUUGACGGGGACCCGCACAAGCGGUGGAUGAUGUGGAUUAAUUCGAUGCAACGCGAAGAACCUUACCUGGUCUUGACAUGUCAGGAAUCCUGCAGAGAUGCGGGAGUGCCUUCGGGAACCUGAACACAGGUGCUGCAUGGCUGUCGUCAGCUCGUGUCGUGAGAUGUUGGGUUAAGUCCCGCAACGAGCGCAACCCUUGUCACUAGUUGCUACGAAAGGGCACUCUAGUGAGACUGCCGGUGACAAACCGGAGGAAGGUGGGGAUGACGUCAAGUCCUCAUGGCCCUUAUGACCAGGGCCUCACACGUCAUACAAUGGUCGGUACAGAGGGUAGCCAACCCGCGAGGGGGAGCCAAUCCCAGAAAGCCGAUCGUAGUCCGGAUUGCAGUCUGCAACUCGACUGCAUGAAGUCGGAAUCGCUAGUAAUCGCAGGUCAGCAUACUGCGGUGAAUACGUUCCCGGGUCUUGUACACACCGCCCGUCACACCAUGGGAGUGGUUGCUCCAGAAGUAGUUAGCCUAACCGCAAGGAGGGCGAUUACCACGGAGUGGUUCAUGACUGGGGUGAAGUCGU